UUAUUUAAGGUCUGCUAAUGCUAUUGUUAUGCUUAAUUUGCUGUUCUGGGCAUGUCCAUUUUUUUUCCAAGUUCAUAGUGAUGAUGAAUAUUCUGUUGUGAUAAACCCUUAUACUAUUUUCCAGAACUCCAAUUCAUGUUGGGUGGGUUGCUAUUUGUUACAUGUUGCUUGAAAAUUACUAUGCCAGGCCAUGAUUAUUUGUUAAUACUGGUUGAUGUUUGGCUCAUGAUGUUGCUUACUGCUGUUCUAACCCUAAAACCCGCCAAGAAAUUUCAUGAGUAUGAUGUAUGCUGUUGUUCAUGAUUGGUUUUUGAAUGCAACAUGAAUGCCAUGCUGCUUGCUUGAUGCUUAUUUUUUUUUUGAGUUCAUAAUGAUGGAAAUUGCUAUUGACUGCUUGCUAAAUCCAUGCUGAUGUAUGUUUGUGCUAAGUCAUUUUGAUGUUAGUUGAUGUUAGUUAUUGCAUGAGCAUUGAGGCUGGUUAGGUUUAUUUUGUUCAUGGUUGAUAAAUGAUGUUGCCAUACCAUUACUAUGCUAUUGUUUGUGUUGGAAGCAUGAGAAUACAUGAUACAUGUUGUUGCUGCAUAUGCCCUGCUGCAGUUUUGAAUUCCCACGAGCAUUGUCUUGUUUCCAUGAGCUGAACCUGUUAGCCAUGCUUUUGUUUGUUUGCUUGUUGGUUGGAACUUCAAUUGAUGAUUGAUAAUGAUGAACACUGAAUGGUGCAUACUGCUGUAUAAAGAAAC
rnacentral:lncRNA from 1 species